CCUACGGUGUGCAGCAGUGAGGAAUAUUGGUCAAUGGGCUUACGCCUGAACCAGCCAAGUCGCGUGAGGGAAGACUGCCCUAUGGGUUGUAAACCUCUUUUGUCAGGGAGCAAUUGGCGCUACGUGUAGCGUUAUCGAGAGUAACUGAAGAAAAAGCAUCGGCUAACUCCGUGGCAGCAGACUCGGUAAUACGGAGGCUGCGGGCGUUAUCCGGAUUUAUUGGGUUUAAAGGGUGCGUAGGCGGAAUGCCAAGUCAGCGGUAAAAUCGCGGGGCUCAACCUCGCUCCGCCGUUGAAACUGGCGUUCUAGAGUGGGCGAGAAGUAUGCGGAAUGCGUGGUGUAGCGGUGAAAUGCAUAGAUAUCACGCAGAACUCCGAUUGCGAAGGCAGCAUACCGGCGGCGAUCUGACGCUGAGGCACGAAAGCGUGGGUAUCGAACAGGAUUAGAUACCCCAGUAGUC
rnacentral:rRNA from 1 species